UACGUAGGUGGCAAGCGUUGUCCGGAAUUAUUGGGCGUAAAGCGCGCGCAGGCGGUCCUUUAAGUCUGAUGUGAAAGCCCACGGCUCAACCGUGGAGGGUCAUUGGAAACUGGGGGACUUGAGUGCAGAAGAGGAAAGCGGAAUUCCACGUGUAGCGGUGAAAUGCGUAGAGAUGUGGAGGAACACCAGUGGCGAAGGCGGCUUUCUGGUCUGUAACUGACGCUGAGGCGCGAAAGCGUGGGGAGCAAACAGGG
rnacentral:rRNA from 1 species